GAGAGGGGGGGAGGGCAGUGUGUCGGCGGCGGCGAGGGGAGGGGAUGGUUGGAGGACGAGGCUGGGGCGUCUCCCGCGCAGGUACCGGCCUCGCCUCCUCCUCUAGGUCCGCCUCGCGCGGUAGAGGUAGCGGUACCGGGGGCCGGAAACAGCUCGGCGAGCAGUAGAAGGAGCAGGAGCAGCAGUUGCGGCGGUAGCCGCAGAUCGUCCACCUGAGGCCGCCGAGCAGAGGCAGAAGAAGGAGCAGGGGUGCGCGCCGAGGUGAAGGGCGACCGGUACCCCAAGUCGGAAUUCCCCGUGUAGCCCAACCCGUAGGAGACAAAGACUCACGUGCCCCGCCAAGCUCCGCGUGAACACCUCGUUCUUGUGUACGUGUCUCGGCGUCUCCUUCUUCUUUCCCUCCGUUCAAAUAAAGCCCCGUAUACCGCCGCUCCUUCGGUUGAUAAUGUUAGUAUAAAUUCAAAACUAAAGACAACCAACAGGUACUAAGUAAACACCAGUAAAAGAACAAUCUACCAACUAAGUCUACACCAAAAUAAACGUCCCUCCCCAGUGACGAACAAUCAAACAAGAUCCAAUGACGAAUAAUCAAACCAGUACCACGAACAAUCAAAUGAUAAGCCACCAGGAAACAUACGUGGUAAGUAUAUAAAACAAGAAUAAAAAAACAAUUGAAAGAAAAUCAAGCCCCGGAGAGAACGACGGAGGUGAAGUACACCGUGUCAUAUAGAGGUUGAUAAGAGAGAGGACAAAGUAUAAAUAAAACGAGAUCGGUACACACAUCGGACUAUUCAUAUUUCGCAGGAGUGGUAGCAUUCGGAAGUGAAUACCUAACUAAGAUCCUUAUACGUGUUUGAUUUAAUUCUAAGUCUCAUACAUGUCUUAGCCUCACUCAAGAGGGAAAGACCCUGAAUCAGAAGACAGUACACUAAAAUAGAACUUUCUUGUCUUUUUUUGUAAGGUACACUCUCUUUAUCGGGCCACUACACACUAAGUAGCUGACUUGUAGACAAUCUUAUCAACCGAUCUAAAGAAAAGACGAAUCGAUGUUGUAACCAAGCUAAACAGGGAAUAACACUUUUUGUUUCCCAAACCAAAGAAACACAACCUAACCACGAAGACUUUCUCUUACCCCUUCUUACCGGACAAGUAACCGGAGAUAACAAGCUAAACCAGAGGGAUUGAAUAAUACUACCACAGUCACGACCGAACAAAAGCAAGCAGGAACGAAUAUAAGUACACAGAAUCAUCAAUCUAUCGAGUAUACCAAAACCAAUCCUUCUCACAAACUAAACCCGAGCGACCCGAUAAUACUACCACAGUCAGACCAAAUGUAACAACCAAUCUCUCUCUUAAACUCUAAAAUACGGACUCCACAAAUGACGGGCCAAUUACUAUCACGGAAGACUACCUCACACAGACGACAACAGCGAGAACUUAUCAGUCAUACUACAAUUAAAUCGAAAGCUGAUACAUCCAAACAGUCCGUGCUAUUUUAAAACUUACAAACUUAGUGUAGUCGUUCUUGAACCUCUACGAAUAAAAGAGGUACCCCAGAAAGUAUUUGCAUUUUUGUUGUGCUGUUUCCAAGCGAGAUUUGACAUCAUAUAAGUCUCUAAAUCAGAUGAACGAACUCUUAAUCUUUCCGUGAAAACAAAGAGUGCCAAACUAAACAUACAUGACACUUGACGUUUAUGGAGCCGAGGAACGUUUUAUCUUUAGUUAUCAUGGGAGUAAAUGAGCAACUUAACAAAUAAAGGAUAUAAUGAAACGAACACUUCAAGUCUAAAUUGAAUUGUACCUGACAAACACGAACGAACACCACUACACUCAUAAACAAAACGAAACCUUAUAAUCAAGAAGGACUUCGAAUAAUGUUAAUGUAGCUUGAUACCAACUGACCUUAUAAAAACGCACGAAGCCAACUAUAUAUUCGAGGGCCUUAUAGUAACUACCUUCCUCUGAGACGUUCCGUGUAUUACGGAUAAGAUCUCCAAAAAUAAAAAGAUUCAAGUAAACAACAAAGCGGAAAACUUUCCGCACUAGGUCACCAGGGUGUAUACUAUGAUUCAAUCUCUAGCCAAUAGGGACACUUACGUUUGAUACAAAUCGAUACUUGUACAAACUGAGGAUGUGAUAAAAUGGAUUAAUCAAUAACCUAAUUAAAACCAUCAAGAUAAAAAGACGACGGUUGUUGUACGUUCAAUUUUACAAGUUCCACACGAAACCGAAACCCUAAGAAAUGACAAAAACGAAACCGAAACACGCACCGGAGACUUUAAUUUGGUUUCAAAGUCGCCCAAGAAAAAUUUCUGUUACUUCGACAGAGUUUACAGUUGGGUCAUAGACUAGGUUAGCUGCUACGCGAACAACUACGUCUACCGCUCCCGAACCAAUGAAGGUCUAGUAGAUACAAAACUUCGUAUGUGAAAGUCAGAUACGAAUGAAUAAAAUGCGAACCAAUGAAGGUCUAGUAGACAGAAAACCUUCGUGUGUGAAAGACAGAUACGAAUGAAUAAAAUGCGUACAAAGGAGGGUCAGACCACUUUGUGAUCCAAGUCAAUUACUCAGAUAACGACCUUUCCUCUUCUGUGGUGUUGAAUCGUGACUGUAAGUCUUUCUAUUGAAUUGUAACGGACCACUCUGCAGUCUACGUUUAUCGUGAGCUGUAAAGAAAUGAAUAUGGGUCCACGAAACGAACGUAACGUUUUGACGAUGUAAGUCGCACCGUAAAACGCAAGACUUGGUAGGUACGGAUGACUACGAGCUUCGUUAGGCUCGUUCGCCCAGUCCUUCUUCAUCUUUGUAUCGUACCCCCCACUCCGCAGAAAACCUCUAGGUUCUGAGAACCAACUGCAACGACAUUUACCUACUAAAGAAUAGUUAUACGGACAUGCUCGCUCAGGGGACGAACUCGAAGCAAGCGUCCGUGAAUGGUGGUGUAGUGAACCAACGAAUACCCGUUGUUACCGACGAUAGUCAGUACAACGACAGGUCAACCUGAUGGUCCGAUGAACCUAUAUUUGGCAGGAAAACAGUCCAUGCCCUAGCUACUUAUGUAUAGGACCUGAGCCACGGGGCCUCACUUUACCCUUCAGCUUACCGAACCGUACGUGUGGGAUACUUCGCGAAAAUCGGCAGAACAAAGCCAAAACCGGUGCCGCUAUAGACAAACAUCUCCGAUUGUUCAUGAAGUACGGACCCUACGUAGGAAACAUUUAUAUACCCGCUAACUACGUGAGAAAAGUGUACCAGUGAGAGGACGAAACAUUAGAAACUUGGAGUAGUCACAGUUAUAACAUUAAGCUUUAGACUAUAUAUACCCAACGUAAGCAGCCGAGGGGACACCUAAC
rnacentral:rRNA from 1 species